rnacentral:rRNA from 1 species
UACGGGGGGGCAAGCGUUGUUCGGAAUUACUGGGCGUAAAGGGCUCGUAGGCGGCCAACUAAGUCAGACGUGAAAUCCCUCGGCUUAACCGGGGAACUGCAUCUGAUACUGGAUGGCUUGAGUUCGGGAGAGGGAUGCGGAAUUCCAGGUGUAGCGGUGAAAUGCGUAGAGAUCCGGAAGAACACCGGUGGCGAAGGCGGCCUGCUGGGCAGUUUUGCUGACACUGGAGGCGCGACAGCGUGGGGAGCAAACAGGGAUUAAGAUACCCUGUA